rnacentral:rRNA from 1 species
UACGAAGGGGGCUAGCGUUGUUCGGAAUUACUGGGCGUAAAGCGCACGUAGGCGGCUUUGUAAGUUAGAGGUGAAAGCCCGGGGCUCAACCCCGGAAUUGCCUUUAAGACUGCAUCGCUAGAAUUGUGGAGAGGUAAGUGGAAUUCCGAGUGUAGAGGUGAAAUUCGUAGAUAUUCGGAAGAACACCAGUGGCGAAGGCGACUUACUGGACACAUAUUGACGCUGAGGUGCGAAAGCGUGGGGAGCAAACAGG